GCCGUGCCAUAUAAGCCGCACUCUGAGGUUCCUCUGUGCAAGAACGUGACCUGUGCAAAGUGGCAGCGGCACUGAGGCAACCGGGUGGUUCUGCCCACGGCAUUUCUCAAUCAUCAGGCUAAGCAGCAAAAACAAAAAACACCAAUGUCAUGAACGAAGCACGGUUCCCACCAAUUCAGCGCGAUGUUCCAUAAGAAAUGGAUGGAUCGUGGGUAGCUCUAACACGGAAACAAAACGCAAAAGGAGACGAAAGAACAAGUUAAAGAACUGAGUUAGUCCAGCUUCCUGGGACUUGUUUUUCUUAUGCGCGUUUUACGUGUAUCACGUGGUUUGUUUAAUGGAAUAAUUUCAUUAACAUUUCCUUAUUAGGAGCAGUUUGCACAGCUUGUGGCAUUUUCAACUAAAAGCAAAUAUCCAGGUCUGUCAAUGUUUACCUUUUCGAACAAGGAGACGUAACAAACAUACGGCUCUAAGAGGAUACACUAUGGCAAAAACUACUCGGUAAAAGAGAGACAGCAGCGACAAACAUACUCCACUAAAGAAGCUUGCCACGCUGAGCUCGCACAGAUACAGGUUGGCGCCACUAAGGCAGUAUCAUGAGCGGAGAGGUGUUGGAAGAAACAGUUGGACCUAGCUUGGCUGCGGUGGUCGCCAAGGGCUCAUCCCUGGGAGUCGUUCUUACUGCCGUGAUAUGCGUCAAUGUGGGGCUUAUUCUGAAGAUCAGAUGGAUGUCACAAACAGGAGGAACUCGGAACCCAAUUGUGUCCCAUUUGGUUUUAUGUAUGGCAGUGAUCAACACAGCCACCGGCGUUAUCAAUAUUGGAUCACUAAUGGUGUCAACUAUAAAAGGCAGCUAUGUCUUUAGCAGUGGUCUGUGUCAGUUCAUUGGGUAUAUAGGAAGUAUGCUGUUGGCCGGUGUUACAAUGAUGACUAUGAUUGCUGCCGUUGAAAG